rnacentral:rRNA from 1 species
GAUGAACGCUGACAGAAUGCUUAACACAUGCAAGUCAACUUGAACUUCGGUUUGGGUGGCGGACGGGUGAGUAACGCGUAAAGAACUUGCCUCACAGAUAGGGACAACAUUUGGAAACGAAUGCUAAUACCUGAUAUUAUGAUUUUAGGGCAUCCUAGGAUUAUGAAAGCUAUAUGCGCUGUGAGAGAGCGUUGCGUCCCAUUAGCUAGUUGGAGAGGUAACGGCUCACCAAGGCGAUGAUGGGUAGCCGGCCUGAGAGGGUGAUCGGCCACAAGGGGACUGAGACACGGCCCUUACUCCUACGGGAGGCAGCAGUGGGGAAUAUUGGACAAUGGACCAAGAGUCUGAUCCAGCAAUUCUGUGUGCACGAUGAAGUUUUUCGGAAUGUAAAGUGCUUUCAGUUGGGAAGAAAAAAAUGACGGUACCAACAGAAGAAGUGACGGCUAAAUACGUG